rnacentral:piRNA from 1 species
UGAGCUGUAAGGUGUCUUGCCCAAUGGCUGU